CUCCUUUCCACCUGGUCUCCUGCACACACAACACUUCCAACGUCCUCCUCUGCAACCUCUCCACUCCGCUGAUCCCUCUUUAAACUACCUGGCUUCUGAACUGCUGCCCGCCUGACAGAGCCAGUACCAUCUUGAUCAGUUUCGGGCACUCUGGUCAUCAAUCGGCAGUGCUGACCUGCUGGAUUUACUACCCUACCCUGUUAUGCAACAUCAGGUGCUUUCAGAACAGGUGAAACAACUGUUAGGGCAGGUACAGGAGUACACCUCCAUAUCCGAUGGCCUGCGAGGAGAGAAUACCCAACUGAAGACUUUGCUGGCACAAACGCAGCAGGAGCUUGCUUCGCAGAAUCAGAAGAUGCAUGAGGAGCAGCAUUGUCAAUCUAUGAUACCUGGGAACAUACACCUGGAGAUCGCUCUGGCACAGCAGUUCGAACAGGAAGUCGAUUCACAGCUACCUUCUCCUUUCUGUGGUAUUCCACCUUCCUACACGGGCUUAACGGCACUCCCCAUUGAUAGUUCUCCCUCGCUGCAGACUGAACCACCUGAAGAUGAAAAGGAGACUCUGAAGACCAAAGCACCCUGUGCAUACAGACCUACUCUACUUUGGCUGCUAUUUUUUUUCUGCUUGAUUGCUUGUGUUUGGCUAUUCAUCAUUGCAGCAUCAUCUUGUGGGCCACACAGCACCACCACCUCAAACCAUCCCUUCUGUUCUUUCCUCUGGCCACAUUUGUCCUUAACCUGGCGGGAGCCACCGCCGAUGUAACUGUUUUUAAACCCUUGAGGAGAUGCAUUCAUUGAAUGUAAUGCAUUUCCUGUUUGUUCGUUUAGUUCCUGAUAUUUUUAACAUUACCGUCAAUAACAUAUUUUAGUUGAAUAUGGUUCAGUUUAAUUUUUUGUGCUUUAUAUGAUCUUUUCAUCACUUUAAUAUCCGAAUUGCUGUUGCUUUAUAAAUUCGGUCAUCUCACCUUUGUUUGUUACAGAACCCUUGUUAAUUUUCCUUUCCUGGUUCUUGUUCUCUUGUAUUUUAAAAAAAGCAUGUAUUGCAACCUUGAUUUAUUAUAUCCCAGCAACCUGCAGAUGUUUAGGAAAUGUCAGCAAGAGUCUGUGCUUUCUAUUUCAUCUUUGGAUUAUAUUUUAUUUGUGAAUAAAGUUGCAAUCGAUUAUUGAUCCACCCACCUCACCAAAAUAAACUUUUUGAGAGGAGUACAAGCUGACUUGAUUUUG
ensembl:lincRNA